AUUGGUCUUUAUGAUUGGACUUGAGCAAAAAUUUGCCUACUCGGCUCUUUGUACGGGGAAUUAGCUCAAAUGGUAGAGUGCUCGCUUAGCAUGCGAGAGGUAGUGAGAUCAAUGCCCGCGUUCUCCAGGUUUUAAAAUUAUGUAGAGAAACAGAUGGACUACAGUCAGUAAUUGUAGAACUACAAAGUGCUUCAAUAUGGUAAGUGGAGCUGAUAAAAUGGACAGUGAGUUUAGAAACAAAGAGGUUGUUUUAAUGUCAUGUUCUAACCCAGGGGUGGGGAACCUUCUACCCACUGAGGGCCAGAUUAAUAAUUACAUAUCUGGUCACGGGCCACAGACUACAAUGACGCAACAUAGAGCCAAAUUAAUAUAGGCUUUAUAAAUACAUGAUGCUGAUGGUAUGUAGUGUUUAUAUUUGAUUUCAGACUUACCUUAUCAUGUGACGGUUGUGAAUGUUUGGUCUUGACCAGCUGUGGAAUAUCUGGGGGCAAUGAUGUCGUGGCAACACGCAACCGGUGGCUCUGACAGAAACCUGUUCACCCUCUCGAGGUUAAAGACUGCAAGUCGAGACUGCAGUGCCAACAAUGCUGCUCCUACUAGAUGUGACGGACACCUGGCGUGUUUGCACCAAAAAUGUCCAGAACUUAAAACGGACUUUAUCACAGACUGGACUGAACAAUGAAGAACUUACAUUAUUUUUUUGCUAGUUACAACUUUCAGUUCAAUUUAAUUUUGUGUUUGUAUGAUUUGUGUAAAUCCUAUUAAUUUAAAGUAUCCUUCAAGCCACCCAAGAAGGACGGGUCCCUGCUGAGUCUGGUUUCUCUCAAGGUUUCUUCCUGAGUUUUUCCCUGCCACAGUCUGUUGGUCCUGGAUUUUGUGAAGUUGCUUUGAGACAAUGUUCAUUGUAAAAAGCGCUAUAUAAAUAAAUUAAGACUUGA